GCCUGGGUGGCUCAGUCAGUUGAGCAACUGACUUCAGUUCAGGUCAUGAUCUCACGGCUGGUGAGUUCGAGCCCCACAUCAGGCU
rnacentral:tRNA from 1 species